CGGGGAAAGAAGACCCUGUUGAGCUUGACUCUAGUCCGACUUUGUUAAACGGGGCCUUUUAUUUUCCAGCAAAAAACCAAAAAACUGGGCAUGGUUUCGUUGGGCACAAAACCAGCAAAGAGCCGACUUUGUUAAACGGGGCUUUUAUUCACCAGAAAACCAAAACUGGGCUGAGUUUCGUUAAGGCACAAAACCAGCAAAGAGCCGCGACAGAAAGUUUCAUCGUGCACGAAACCAACAAAGAGCAAGAGGGGGGGUCUUCACGUGGAGGUACUUUGUAGAAAACUCGCCGCAGACUUUUAUCUCAAGCCAUGGUCUUGAGUAGAGCCAGCAGAAAGAUGAUGGGAGAAGCUCCAAGUACCAAGGAACCAGCCUUUACGACUUGAGAGUGGAGUUACUGAAGAACUUGUCUCUCUUGAUCCCUUAAGGAGAGACUCCAGGUGCCGAAGGGGUCAGUGCUGAGAGGGGAGUUGCUCACAAGCUUGACGGCCCAUGCUGUCGCGAUUGUGGAAUCCAGAACCAUCUGUCCAGUGGCGUCCACAAUCACUCGUGAGUACUUGCCUCUCUUGAUCCCCUCAAAGGGCAUGCCUUACAUCGUCUUUGUGCCUCGUCGAGUCUCUGAACUGAAGUGUAUCUGACCAUAAGUAUUUCUUGAAACCUUGGAGGUACCCCAUGGACGUACACCGCUCUCCCUUGGUUUCUUCUUGUGCACUUUCAUAUCUACCCCCCGCUGUAAGCUGCUGUUGAUCGGACUCUACUGAGACUUGGUACCAUCUUGUCACUCGUCGGUGUCGAGUUCUCUUGUUGGUGCCUUUGCUCUGGUCCAUGUCUUUAUCUUGAGUGUCUUCGUAGCUUCUACCAAAGAACUCAUUCAUCGUGACCACACUAAACGCCCUCAAUUGUCGUAGAGAAGCUGGAUGUUUGCCCAAGUGUUGGUGACGAAAUCCUCCUCACGUGGGGAGCCUUGUUUCCAAACCUCCACCAUUGUCGACCUUGAAGAAGCCCACAAAGAGAACCACCUCCUUGAUAAGUCAUCAAGAUCGACAAACUUGAAGCAAGGUCGCGUACGACACCAUCACUUCAAGCUCCCAAUCCUUGGCAAGAAUCACCUUACAAGUCUUGGGGAUGAAGAGGAUCUCCUUCACCUUGCUUGAGCUCACCACUGUCCAUGGAGCAGGCCUCCAGACCCCCAGAAAGAAAACCGUGGAGUAACGAAGGACAAGUCUAAGCAACAAGCCGAGAACUCAAAUACUUAGAUCUCCUUCCUCCACCGUUUGAUCUUCCUGAAAUUCUGAAGGCCGACUCUCCAUAUUCAGCUCCAGCUUUUCACCGACGUGAUCUCGAAACGAGUGCAUCAGCCAGGAGAACCAGCCGCUCAAACUUACACUGGACUUCACUUGCUUGAACCAUGAAACUUGAGCAGACAUAUCUUGCAGCCCAGCCGUUAGAUCUUCAUGAAACCUUGUAGGCGCAAUCUCCCUAGCGUCUUCUAGCUUCUCACCAGAGCGAUUUUCGGUCCGAUGUCGCCUAAAGCAGCCACAGCCGACCCAUUCUCGCCUCAAACCUUAGCCGCCCAAGUGCCUAGGGUCACUUGUAUCUUCCCAGAUCUUUAUCCAAACGGCCUGCAGCUAGUGACAGAGUGUCUUUGCCUUGUAGCCCCCCAGCUGUGGAGUAGAAAAGAGAAGCCCAGCCAGUGAUGAGUGCCAGCCGCUCAAACUUCCACUGGCCCACACUUGCUUGAACCGUGAACUUCAAGCAGACGGAUCUCGCAACCCAGCCGUUAGAUCUUCUUGAAAUCUUGUAGGUGCAGUCUCCCUGGUGUCUUCUAGCUUCUCACCGGAGCGAUCUCAGAUCAGAUGCCGCAUAUAGCAGUCGCAGCCGACCCUUGCUCACCCCGAACCCUAGCCGCCGACAUGACUAGGGCCACUUCGAUCUUCUCGGAUUUCAAUCCAAACGGCCUGCAGAUAGCGACAGAGUGUUGCCUUGCAUUGUAGGAGCCCAGCCGUGGAAAGAACAGAGAAGACCAGCCAGUGAUGAGAGCAAAAUAAAAGAUUUUUCGAUGAAGUGCCCAAUAUUGCUUGUGCCUUCGAUUCUUGAGGGGGCGCCUUGAUUCAGCAGCUCACAGGACUUCUACACUACCUCCUCUACACUAGAUCUGGCCACGGAAGUCGACUCUCAAUGCGCCAUCUCCUCCUCUCCGUCUAGGGUUUUUCUAAAAGAGCCGACUUUGUUAAACGGGGCCUUUUAUUUUCCAGCAAAAAACCAAAAAACUGGGCAUGGUUUCGUUGGGCACAAAACCAGCAAAGAGCCUUUAUCUAGAGGAGCCUACAAUGGAAGUACCUACAGAAAGGGGGGUUGCUCGUGAACUGGCGCCCGACGGUCUUCCUAGAUGCGUCACCUGGAACCAUUCGUCCGGCGGUGUCCACAUCCAUUCCCGAGUACCUGCCUCCCCUUGCUUCCACAAGAAAUGCCAGAUCUGCGCUUCUUUUUUUGCUUUUUCUGGGCCAUUUCUCCCUCCUCUUUUUUCCAGUUGUAGGACACGGGCUGCUGCUGCAGUUAUCAUUCUAGUCCACACCCGUGACGCCACCACCCUUGGUCCUUCUUCCCUGUCAUUAAAGAUUCUGUUGCACCGGGCUUUCCAUACUUCCCACAUUGUAAUUCCUCGCAGUAGGUCCACUAUCUCUAUUGGGAUUCCUUCUAUGUCUGUUCGAGUUGUAUUAAGCUGGUCAAACCACGGUGCCCCUUCUUCUCUUGAUGUCCAUUUCCAAGAGUCUGUUCCAUUUCGCAUUCCUGCGGCAGCUUCGCCCCAUACUGCCGCUUCAUACGUGAGGCACACUUGUCUCUGGGAGUGUUGUUGCAGCAACCAGCACGUGCUUCUCCACACGUCUUGUGCGCUUUCACAUUCCCAUAAUAUGUGCCUUUGUGUCUCCCUCGCUCCACAUUUGUCGCAUGCUUGGUCCCCGAGGUGUAUGUUCCUUUUUGAUGGUAGCCUGUCUUGCAUUGUCAACCACAUGAAGUAUCUUGUUUUUGCUGCCCAGCGUCCUUUCCAUAACUCUUUCAAUAUCUCCUGCUGUGUCUUGUCCUGUAUGUUGGCUCGUUUCAUCCUUGAUACCAGUAGCGAGUCACUGCGCGGCCGAAUGAGCUUUCUCCCCAAUCUUGUUUCGUAGGCAAAGAAUUCUUCCUUUUUCCUUCCCCGCCAAUUCCAUUCCGUUGGAUCCCAGGCCAGCUCGCUUAAUUUUUGUUGUCUGAACCAGUACAUCCUAGCUACCUGGCCUUCCGUUAUCUUCGGGUCCAUUGAUGCUGUUUUCUUAUCUAUCCGUAUAACACGUAUCGGCUCUGUUCGUGACAUGUCCAGUCGUAGGCUCUCCUUGGGCACUUUGUAUGGUAAUAGUCUCCCAGCCACCCCGACUUCGAACACAUAACAUUUCGUCUGGUCUUGAGUUGCCGUGUAUAUCACCUUUUCCUCAGCUAUCCACCAGGCUGGUGUCGUUUCUCUGACUUCCUUAAUGCUCUGUUUGCAUUUCCCUUGUGCUUCUUCAAAGGCUGUUUCGAACUUUUUCAGCCUGUGUGCCGAGAUUUCCAGCCCAUAGAACACCUUUAGUCUAUCUCUGUUCAUUUCUGUUUCCCCCGCUUUUAUCAUUGAGUCAGCUUCUGCAAAUGUUCUCAUCCCAGCACUGUGAAGGUCCCGGCAUACUUUGUCUAUUCCUCUGUCCGCAGUUUCCCCCAAACAUUUCCCCUUAUAUUGAAAUAGCUUAUUAAGAAAUAUUGGUUGUCGAUCCAACUCAUAAGUGUUUGUCGGUUUUCUUUUUUCCAGCUUGCUCUUGAAUUCCUUCCACAAUCUGAACAGUUUCCCAGAGAACGUAUUUGGUUUUGGCAUUUUCAGUGCGCCUUCCAUGAACAGCCACCUUUCAUCUUUUUCCCAGUUUUGCCUCGUGUGUUCUAGUCUGUCCGGAAUGACUUUUAGCAGUUGAUGGCGUAGUAGGAGUUUCCAUGGUUGGUUUCCGGGCAUGUUCAUUCGGUGAAAGAUUUUGAAUAGCAGCGCCUUGCAUUGUUCCUCUAUAUCUAUAAUGUUUAUCCCCCCAUCCUAUUUUGCUCUUGUGACCGAGCUCCAUCCAACCUUUGCCCCUCCUCUUGAUACUGUUGCUUGGCCCUUCCAUACAUAUGUCCUGAUGAGCUUGUUCAUUUCUUUUAGUGUUUUCUUGUCCAAGUUCCAUGAUGCCGCCAGGAACCAGAUUGCUCCUAGCACUAUAUUAUUCACCACUACACAUCUUGCCGAGAAGGACAGCUUCCGUGAUGCCCAAAAUUUCAGUUGAUCUCCAAGCUUUUCGACCGCCUUCUGAUUCUGCGGGAGGGGGUCGUAUGCCCGGCCUAUUUGGAACCCCAGGUAUCUUGUUGUUUCUCCUUGUUUCAGCCACUUAAAAUCCCACUCUCUCCCCCAAUUUGGCGGGUCAGAGCUUGGCAGCCAUAUUCCCACCGAUUUUCCCCAGUUUAUUCGUGAGCCAGCUGCCAGGUUGAAGAAGUCCAAGUCCUUCUUGACCUUGCUCAUGUUUUCCGGGGAGCCUGUCGUGAUGAUUCCUGUGUCAUCCGCGAAGGCACUGGAUUUCAACUGCCUUUCCGCUGUCCCUGCCAGGUCUUGUAGUGAGUCUCUGCACCCAGGCAAUACCAGCCCUUCCGGUCCGUCCAUCCUUGCCAGAUAAUGUGCUAGAGCAUCGGCCACGAACAGGAACAAAAAUGGGGCUAGUGGACACCCUUGUCUUACUGACCGUUGGAGCUUGAUCGUGUUCCCUACUGUCCCGUUUAUUGUGACCUUGCUUGAUGCGCCUUGGUAUAAGGUGGCCGUCCAUCCUAUAAACUCUUCAGGGAUGCCGAUCUUCCUCAUUGUCGUUUGCAGGAAUUCCCAGUCUACUCUAUCAUAUGCCUUCUCGUAAUCCAGGAGUAUUAUGGCCAUCUCUAAUCCUUGGUCUUUGACUUGUUCUUGUGUGAGCAACACUGUCAAUAUGUUGUCUACCAGUUGUCUUCCUUCCACAAAACCAUUCUGGGUGUCAUGUAUCGUUUCUGGCAAUAACGGCCUUAAUCUCUUGGCUAGCGCCUUGGCUACUAUCUUGUAUAGUGUAUUUAGCAUCGAUAUCGGUCUCCAGUUCUUGAGUAGAGAUGCAUCCCCUCCUUUUUUGGGAAUGAGCACAAUUAUUCCAUCUAUGGCUCCUGGGGGCCAUUGUCCCGUUCUCAUCACCUCCUUCCAUGUGUCCAACACUACUGGCCCCAACCAUUCCCAGUUUGCUUUAUAAUAUGCUGGUGGCAUCCCAUCUUCCCCCGGCAUCUUGUCAUCGUUCAAGUCUCUAACUGCAUCCUCUAGCUCUUCCAGUGUAAAGUUUCUGCACAGGGUCCGUGCUAAGGCUUCAUCUACUUUCUGGGGCACCGACUGAAGAACUUCCUCCAUGGCCGUUUUCCUUUCUUCUGUCCACGGUUCUGCUCUAAACAGUCCUUGGUAGUAUGUCUCAGCCAUCCUGUGCAUCUCCUGUAGGCUCGUAUGCAUCUCACCUUGAUCAUCCUUGAGCCCGAACAUUGGCGGGGACGUAACUCUUGCUUUUAUGGACUUGUAAAACUCUUUGUUUAGCGCAUUCUCACUAAUAUGCCAUUUGAGGUGCCCCGACCUUAUAAACGCCUCCAUUUUUUCCGCUUCCAGGGUGAAAAGUUGGGCUUUGGUUCUUGCUAGCUGAGUUCUCAGUGACGUAUCCAGCGGGUCCAACCUGAUCAAUCUCUUAAUGGCUUCAAUAUUUCUUCUUAUUGCUUGCACUUUUUUGAAAACUUUUCUUCGCUUGUUCUGUGUCUUUUUCCGGAUUUCAUUGGCUAUCUCAAUUGUGAACUUGUGCAGAUCUCCUCCUUCUUGCUGAUUCCAUCUUUCUUUUAUAUGGUCAUUCAUUUUCCCGUCCUCGAAGUUUUUCCGCGAUAUUGGUGCAGGCCUCUUUGUUCCCCACCUCUUUAAGAUGGGAAGCGUCAAAGCCACCGAAUUAUGAUCUGAGAAGUCUCUGUAUCCCGUUGUUAUAUCUAAUUUUCCACUAUUCCGACACAGUUCGGGUGAUAUAUAAAACCGGUCCAGUCUUCGUUGAAUUCCCCGUUGUUGGUGCUCUUGCCAUGUGAACCUUGGCUGGUGUUGUACAAACCCUGGGAUGUUGUAUGUAUCUUCUAGCCCCAUCGCUAGCACUAGUUGUGCCCACAUUGCUCUUUCCCUGCUUGUCCUUUUGUCUCUCAUUUCUCCCCCAUCUUUGUCUAGCUCCUCUUCCACAAAGUUGAAGUCUCCCGUGACCAUCCAUGUUGAGGGUUGUGGAGGUAUUCGGUGUACCAAUUCAUUCCAGAAAUCUGCUCUUUCAGAGGAGCUUCCUGCUGGUGCAUACACAUUCAGGAGGCCUACUAGCAUGUCUCCUAUCUUGAACUGGACACACUGUGCUCUACCUGGUACCAGUAUUGCAUGAUCUUCAACCAAAGAUUCCCACGUGCCUUUUACCACUAUUAAUGUGCCUCCCCUGCAUGAUACUGCCGGAUUCCAAAAAUAUUUCCCUUUCGUAAACUUAUAAACUUGAUCCAUUCUUGAGAGCCUAUGCUCUUGCACACACAAGAAAUCAAAACAUUGCGUCACACCUUCUACCUGUCUAAGGUACUGUCUAAACUUCAUCUUUUUGUUAUUUAGUGCUGAUCUCUCCUUCUUCAGGCCUCCCACGUUCCACGUUCUCAUGUUGAUGUUAACCAUUUCUGAAUCCUCGGGCGCUGCCAAGACGCUGUCUCUCCACCCAAUGGUAUGGUCCCAUUGGUCGAAGUGGCCAUGCGAACACGAUUCUCACCGUUCCUCGGAACCUGAACGAGUUCGGCGCUUGUUCCACGAAAUUAUCUUCUCGAAUCGAAAACCUCUGCGGGUUCCAGUUGAAGUUGUAGGCCAGAAUAUCCUCCAGAGUCCGGCCUAUGUCUUGUCCAGGCGAGAUCAGAAUUGCCGGUGGGGCGUAUCCAACUCUGUUGUCGAUCCAUUCCCCCAGGAACUUGGGAGGGUUCGUUCCACUGACGUAUAGCUCAAUUUCGCAAACUGCUCUUCUUGGGGGGGUGAAUCCUGGCGGACAGUUUCCUCUUGCAAAGUCCUCCGUUCUGCCUGAUCUUGAGCAUGACUGUUGUUGUUGUUCCACUGGCCCCGGUACCCUCUGUGUAGCCUGCUGUGGUGGCAUUUCACCUUUAUCUUGGACCAUCUCUACUUCUGUGUCAGGUUCCUUUGCCUCCCCCACGGCUUGUCCUUCGAACCGUCUUCCUGUCGGCCUCCAUUCUUUCCCUCGCGAAGCCCCCGACUGUGCUUUUUCCUGCUUGGCUGCUGUUGAUUGCUCCCCUUGUCCCUCCUCCUUCUGUCCUUUGGUUCGAGGCUUCUUGCUUUCGCCACUGGAGGCUGCUUUCUCUGUUGUUUCCCUUUCCCCUCUGGCUCCACGUUUCUUGCCUUCCGAUCCACUGUUUGCUUUCUGUCGGUCC
rnacentral:lncRNA from 1 species